GCCCAGGCUGAGGCAGCAGCAACAGCACCCCAGGCGGGAACAGCAGGGCAUCUGCAGGCCUCUGCCGGAAGUUCUUCAGCAGAGGCCGGUCCAGAUUCAGAGUCUGCAGCUUUCAGCACACGGAGAUGUCUUUUCAUUGUCUUCUGCCUCGCGUGGCACCUACGAUGAUCCUCUGAAGGAAGCCAACUACCCAAAGAACACACACCUCUGUCUUGGGAGACGUACAGCCAGGAGCCCCUCAGAAGGGAGGAGGAGGAGACCCCGUCUCACACGUUGGGCAGGUUCUCCGGAGAGACCAGUCCCGGGAAAAGGACAGCGUACUUGGGGAAGUAGAAGGACCAUGAAGAACAGAAGGGUUCUUAUGGGCUGACACAGCGGCUGGACCCUGGGGUCCACCGUGAGGGCAGCUGUGAGGGUGGCGGGUCGCAGGGUCACUGUGAGUCGCAACCUCUUCGACGGCACCUAACCCACAGGGACACCGCGGGAGCCCAACGAUGUAUGAGUGGAUUUUCCCACUAUUCCCUUCUCCGCCUGGUAUCACCACCCUUUUGUCUCUCUGGGCUUCAUUCUGGGGACCCUUUUCUGACCUAUUUUACAAUUCACCAGUACACCUAUCCAAAGAAGUACGUAAUUUCA